rnacentral:rRNA from 1 species
AUUGAACGCUGGCGCCAGGCUUAACACAUGCAAGUCGAGCGAGCGGCGCACGUGCGAGCGUUGUCUGUGCACCCGCCUGCUGGAGGGGGAUAACUACUGGUACCGGUAGCUAAUACCGCUUACCAUCAGGUGGGUCCAGCUGGGAUUGGCUAGUAGGUGGGGUAAUGGCUCGCCUAGGCGACGAUCCCUAGCUGGGCUGAGAGGAGGACCAGCCACACUGGAACUGAGACACGGUCCAGACUCCUACGGGAGGCAGCAGUGGGGAAUAUUGCACAAUGGGCGCAAGCCGGAUGCAGCCAUGCCGCGGGUGUGAAGAAGGCCUUCGGGUUGUAAAGCACUUUCAGCGAGGAGGCGUUACUCGCAGAAGAAGCACCGGCUAACUCCGUGCCAGCAGCCGCGGUAAUAC